GCAAGAAAAGGGUUUAAGUCUUUAUACACGAAUCUACAGUCCGUUGCCUUUAUCAGCCAUCCUG
rnacentral:tRNA from 1 species